rnacentral:rRNA from 1 species
AUGAACGCUGGCGGCGUGCUUAACACAUGCAAGUCGAACGGAAAGGCCUCUGCUUGCAGGGGUACUCGAGUGGCGAACGGGUGAGUAACACGUGGGUGAUCUGCCCUGCACUUCGGGAUAAGCCUGGGAAACUGGGUCUAAUACCGGAUAGGACAAUGGUUUGGAUGCUGUUGUGGAAAGUUUUUCGGUGUGGGAUGAGCUCGCGGCCUAUCAGCUUGUUGGUGGGGUAAUGGCCUACCAAGGCGUCGACGGGUAGCCGGCCUGAGAGGGUGUACGGCCACAUUGGGACUGAGAUACGGCCCAGACUCCUACGGGAGGCAGCAGGGGGGAAUAUUGCACAAUGGGCGCAAGCCUGAUGCAGCGACGCCGCGUGGGGGAUGACGGCCUUCGGGUUGUAAACUCCUUUCGCUAGGGACGAAGCGUUUUUGUGACGGUACCUGGAGAAGAAGCACCGGCUAACUACGUG